rnacentral:piRNA from 1 species
UACACAGGUUGGCUCUCCCAGAAUACCCU